GACGAACGCUGGCGGCGUGCCUAAUACAUGCAAGUAGAACGCACAGUUUAUACCGUAGCUUGCUACACCAUAGACUGUGAGUUGCGAACGGGUGAGUAACGCGUAGGUAACCUGCCUGGUAGCGGGGGAUAACUAUUGGAAACGCUAGCUAAUACCGCAUAAUAUUGAUUAUUGCAUGAUAAUUAAUUGAAAGGUGCAAUUGCACCACUACCAGAUGGACCUGCGUUGUAUUAGCUAGUAGGUGAGGUAACGGCUCACCUAGGCGACGAUACAUAGCCGACCUGAGAGGGUGAUCGGCCACACUGAGACUGAGACACGGCCCAGACUCCUACGGGAGGCAGCAGUAGGGAAUCGUCGGCAAUGGACGAAAGUCUGACCGAGCAACGCCGCGUGAGUGAAGAAGGUUUUCGGAUCGUAAAGCUCUGUUGUAAGAGAAGAACGGGUGUGAGAGUGGAAAGUUCACACUGUGACGGUAUCUUACCAGAAAGGGACGGCUAACUACGUG
rnacentral:rRNA from 1 species